rnacentral:rRNA from 1 species
CCUACGGGAGGCAGCAGUGGGGAAUAUUGGGCAAUGGGCGCAAGCCUGAACCAGCCACGCCGCGUGAAGGAAGACGGCUCUCUGGUUGUUAAACUCUUUUGACAGGGGAGAAUAGCAGACGGUACCUGCCGAAUAAGCCACGGCUAACUACGUGAGAGCAGCCGCGGUAAUACGUAGGUGGCAAGCGAUGUCCGGAUUUACUGGGUGUACAGGGCGUGUUGGCGGGUUGGUAAGUCAGAUGUGAAAGCUUGGGGCUUAACCGUAGAACUGCAUUUGAAACUGGUGAUCUUGAGUACUGGAGAGGGAGACGGAAUUCGUAGUGUAGCGGUGAAAUGCGUAGAUAUCGGGAGGAACACCAGUGGCGAAGGCGGUCUGCUGGACAGCAACUGACGGUGAGGCGCGAAAGCGUGGGGAGCAAACAGGAUUAGAUACCCGUGUAGUC